rnacentral:rRNA from 1 species
ACCUCCCACCCGUGUCUAUCGUACCUUGUUGCUUCGGCGGGCCCGCCGUUUCGACGGCCGCCGGGGAGGCCUUGCGCCCCCGGGCCCGCGCCCGCCGAAGACCCCAACAUGAACGCUGUUCUGAAAGUAUGCAGUCUGAGUUGAUUAUCGUAAUCAGUUAAAACUUUCAACAACGGAUCUCUUGGUUCCGGCAUCGAUGAAGAACGCAGCGAAAUGCGAUAAGUAAUGUGAAUUGCAGAAUUCAGUGAAUCAUCGAGUCUUUGAACGCACAUUGCGCCCCCUGGUAUUCCGGGGGGCAUGCCUGUCCGAGCGUCAUUGCUGCCCUCAAGCACGGCUUGUGUGUUGGGCCCCCGUCCCCCUCUCCCGGGGGACGGGCCCGAAAGGCAGCGGCGGCACCGCGUCCGGUCCUCGAGCGUAUGGGGCUUUGUCACCUGCUCUGUAGGCCCGGCCGGCGCCAGCCGACACCCAACUUUAUUUUUCUAAGGUUGACCUCGGAUCAGGUAGGGAUACCCGCUGAACUUAAGCAUAUCAA